rnacentral:lncRNA from 1 species
GUGAAGAGGACGGGGCGUGUGGGAGGGCAUGGAUGUUGCCAGAAGCAGCAAGGAGUUGGAGAAUGGGAAGAGAACUGGACGGAAUCAUACAGAAUCGAUUCCAAGGUGCCAAACUGAUGUCUUCCAAUCGGAUCACUGGAAACAGAGUAGCCUCUCCCAGUAAAGCUCCAGAGCCUUACAACAUGCAGACUGGAGGGAGGAGGGACCCCCUGUUGCUCCAGCUGACGGAAGAGAAAGAACAAGAAAAUAAAUGAGAAAAACAAGGCUUCUGAGAGAACUGCCUUCUCUCAGGCUCUCUCUUUAACUCUUUCUGUCUACCUCUCUGUCUCAAUUUGACUAAACAGUAAAAUUCUGAGGUUGAUAUUGGGUUGGUUUAAAUGUUAUAAAUUCCAACAUAUAGAGGUGUUAUGUAACAUGAUGUUUAUCCAUAUAAACUAGAGAUUCCUUGUUCCCCCACCCUAUUCAAAAAGUAGGUCAUGUUUUGUGCAAUAAAAU